rnacentral:lncRNA from 1 species
CGGCCUAGAGAAGAAGGACAUCGCAACAUAAGUUCCUGUAAUUAUCCCAAUGGCACUUGUCACUAGCAAGAGCCUGAUAUGGAUGCGUUAAUUUUCAACAUACCAUUUCUGCUUACCUCAGCAAGGGAGUGAACAAGCCUCAGCUGGGAUCUGCAAACUUUGCAGGUAGGCAAGAAGCAGUUGCUUUUGGUUUUGCUUCAGUCUAUGUACCUGCGUGUUUGCAUUUCCUCCAGUGUGCGGUCAGUUUCAUCAGAGUGAUCGUAGAGAAGAGAAGGGCGGAAAACCUCAGGGCUUACCUAGCAGGGAUCCCUUACUUAGCAGCUUGGAAGCAAAAUUUGGGAACAAAGAUCUAAGAAGACACUGAGUGUGAAACAGGAGGUGUUGGACUCGGCAUCGUAGAAGGCUGUUUGCUCGCCUUGCUGCAGACACCGCACUACCACCCCACCCUUGGCUCUAAGCAAGACAUUCAUAAAGGUAAGUGUUUCAAGAAGCUUUACUACCUGAUACAGUUGCUUACCACCUCUGAUGAUGUCCUACUGAAUGUGUAUUUAAUUCUUACACACGUAUGCCACGACUACUGUGUGCAGUCAGCCUUCACGGUUAGCUCGUACUGCAGAAGGGAGAGGCACACAGAGAUCAGCCGGGUCUCCCAGCUAAAGGACUUGUCUUUGAGAAACGCUGGCAAAGUUUUCCCUUGGUCCCGUUCGCUAUGCUGUCUGCAGUUGGUUGUCAUUUUGAAGUUAGUAGCCACAAAUUGUUUUGUCAUAUUUUGGAAGGUGGGAAAUACAGGGAAGAAACAACCCAACACCGACCAUGCUGUGUGAGGACUGUAUGAAGGAAAGGUCUGUGCAUCGGAAACGAACUUGGACGUGGGAAGCCCCUAACAAACGAAAGGAUGAAGACCUGCUGACGUACUACGUGCGUUGUCAGGAUGCAAAAAGGAGAUGUUUAAAUCAAGACCGGGAAAACUUUUUCCAUCUGCCUGUUUCUGACUCAGUGAUUAGAGACAUUAAAGUACUUCAGGCAUUCAUCAAGAAGUAUGAACCACGUGGAGCCAGUUUUAGCAAAGAAGAAGUUGUUAUCAUCAGUGAAGACUAAAUAAAGUUUGCAAACUGAGAUCAUCAAUGUACCCAUACUACGAUGGAGACUCAAACUAAGUUGAUGUGCUUCCGUGUGGUGGAGAUAACCAGCAUUACUUAAUUACGUUAAUUUGGAGAGACAUACUUAAGUAGAUAAGAGAUGCACCAAUUCUAUCUGUGUGAUAAUCAAUUAAAACCGUAAUUUGGUUGUAUAAUCUUUCUAAUCCAACAGCUGUGGAGAGGAGGUAAAGCUACAGUACUACAGCUACACUUAUUUUUUUCUCACUACUGUAAGACCAGGAAGGAUUUGUUAAGCAGUAUAUACAAGAUAUCAGUAACCACAAUAAAUGUGUCCAGUCUGCAUUUCCCUUCUCUUUCCAGCAUUUCUUUUGGAGAAGAAAAGCUUAAACUGAGAUGUGUUCUGCUUUCUGAGGUAUUAAGAGACUUUAAGAAAUGCUGCACACCAGUGAUGCCGCAAUAGUUGCAAACAACAAAUCCUUUCCUGCUGACACUUUAUGCAAUCCAAAGAGCCUGCACUUCUCCUGGCAAACCUUCAAACACACCACAAGAUGAUGUCUCCCAGCUAAAAAAUACACUUGUUUAUUAAAAUCAUACAUGCAUGUCAUGAUUUGAUGAAAUUAAUCAUGUUUAUGUUUACUAAAGGAGUGUAUGUCUUCGGUAUGUUCUGCUGUAACCUUGCGUAAUAGUCUCACUUUGUUGUGGCCUGGAAUUACUGGACUUGCAAGUGGACUUGAAGGAAACUGAGCCUCCUGGGUGCUCUGAAAUUCACCCCUGCUAAGUACAGUCCUCAGUUUUAUUCCAUUUCAAGUAUGCUCAUUGUCAGUGAAAUCAGUAAGUCAUACAUAUAUAUUUGCACACUUGUUGGGUUAUGAAAUUUGGAACACACCGACAAAAAUUGGUGCUCCUAUUACUGUGUACCAGGGACUCUAUACGUUAAUCAUGAGACUAAACAUACUGAUCAGGUGAUAUUUAAUUUUUUUUAUUUUUUUUGGUAGCUGGUGAAAUGUCUUUGUAUAUUCUUGGGAUCAUACGCAUCUUACAACACCAAAUACAUCUUUCUGUAUAUGUCUGCUAGUGAGGACUGUUUGAGAAAGCCUUCAGAUUUUUGCCUUCCAGGAUCCCCUUCAGAUUACUUCUGUGUGCCUGUAUUCACUGCAAUCAGCCUCUUCAAUCAUAUUUUCAUACAUUAAAUGCAAUAAAACCUUGUUGAUCUGUAACUUAUGCUCAUUUGACAGAGUCAAGGGGAAACUAUUGCUUCUUCUUUUUCAUUUUCUUUCUUUCUGUUUUUCAUUAAAUAAUUUACCAAAUUAUUUUGCAGUUUGCUGCAUGGUUUUGGUUUGGUAUGCAAAAUCUGGAACUGCAGAAUUAACACUGCUGUGAGCGGGAGGAUCCCAAGUGAAUGUGGUAGUUGUGCUCUUGAUAGUAAUACGGCCUUUGCACUCAUAUUCAUGGCAUUUAAACUUGGCAAGUUUACGCUGUUUGUGCUGAGAACAUCAAGGUAAACUAUCGUCCUUUCAGCAAUAAAGUCUAUAGAAUCAUAAAAUAAGCGGAGGUUGGAAGGCACCUCUGGGCACUGCUGGUCCAGAACCCCUGUGUGGAGCAGGGUCAGCCUACAGCAGGAUGACCAGGACUGUGUCCACUUGGGUUCUGAGUAUCUGCAAGGAUGGAGGCUCCACAGCCUCUCUGAGCAGCCUUUCC